AAACAAACAAUGAAAAUACAAGAAAAUGGAGUCUUUCGUAUUAAAAGAGCUAAUAUUUGCUCCAACUAUCCAAAUUUUCUUCUGAUGUCAUUUAAUUACCACUUUGGUUAAAUUUAUAUGUAUUAUUUUUACAAUGACCUACAACCAUAUUUUGGUCCAAUAUUUUAAUUUUUAUACUUGUGACAUGCUUUAUAAAACUCAAAUUUCUAAAUUAAUAUUUUUUGCUGACCUCAAAUUAACUUUGGGAUUUCACAGUUGGGAAUUUGUCAUAUCUCAAAAGCAAACCUCUCCUUUUCAAAAGAAAGAUAUUAAACUAAUUUAGCUUAUGUGAUAUGCUAAUUUAUGGGAAGGCUUGUUAAAUAACUUGUGGUGCUUAACCUUCUUUUAGUUAUACUUGAAUUCAUUUUUUACUGAUAUGUGUUUCAGAAAUUAUGUGAAGUGCUCACAAAUCUAAUAGACUCAUAUACCACUAUCAUCCUCCUACUUCAUACUUUAAAAUGUAGUAUACAAAAGAGACAUGAUCAAAUGUCCUGUUGAUAGCAACAUUAUUGUAAUUGAAUCUCACCAGCUCUUUAUCCAUGCCCCUUUUUAGGUCUUGUCAUUCACAGAUGGUUAAUUGCUUACUCUGGAACUUUCCUGGGCAACUAUAAACCUGAAGUAUUUCAUUCUCAAGGAGAUUCAUGGAACUGACUAACAAAUGAAGGUUUCAGAAAACCUUAGGAUCAAACCACUGGCCUGGGUAAGAAUUCCAAGCAUUCUAAUGAAGAGACUGACUGCUUCAUAAAGCUGCUACCUCAAGAUCAGGAGAAACACUAAUACAUUAAGUAUCAAAACACUGACUUGGCAGAUUUUCAUGCUAAGUCAGCCAGUACUGAAAUUAUUAAGACAUGAAAUUUGAACUCCAUAAGACUGACUGAAGUCAAAUUACCUAUGAGGACCUAUAUAAUAACCAUGCAACCUAACACAAUUGAAUGAACAUAAUUGGCAAAAGGAUGUAUAUCCAAUGUUAAGCACGGACACACAGAGAAUCUGGGUGCCUAUGUGGCUAUUAAUAAGUUCUUAAGUCUUUCACUAUUAAAAGUUGGCACUACGUGAUUUAUCAUGAAAGAGAUGAAUGGUGGGAAAUACUGGUCAAAUGACAAAACUGCUUCAAGGUUUUGUAACUUGCUUGGUUUAUCAAAUGCUUAUCAUUUAGUAUCAUUUCAAGACUCAGAUAUAUUUUGUUUAAUUGUUACUUGUGGUACAUGAUGUUUUGAGUUUGUGGCUUUCUGCUUACUAGGUGGGUGCUCUACCACUUGAUUUACACCUAUAGCUCUGUUUUUGCUUUUUUUUUUUUUUUUUUUUGCAAGCAGAGUCUCAAGUUUUCACCAGGCCAGUCUUAGGCCACAAUCUUGGUGCCUAUGUCUGCAGCAAACGGGAGACAUUAGCCAGAUGCCCAUUAUUAGUUGAGACGGGGGCAGGGGGCAGGAUUUUACUUCUUGCCUGAGCUGGCCUUGAACCAUGAUUCUUCUGAUCUCUACCUCUCAAGUAGCUGUGAUCACAAUGUAAGUCACUACUUGAGUUCAAUUGCCAUUUUCAGUGAAUAUUUUCCAGUUGUACAGAAUAUUUCUACGUCAGAAGAGUGAAUGCCGAGUAAGUGAAAAAAUAUUAUAAAAUACAUUUCCUUUAGGAGACAUUCCUAGAGAAUUCUCUAGAGGUAAAGGUAUCUAUUCCACUGUAAAAAUUGUGAAACAGUUACUGCAAAUACAAUGAUAUUCAUCAUAAGGUUGUUAGUCAAAGAUAACAAUCUAUUGCCUCCUUGGUCAAAGGUAUUACUGAUUGAUAGCAAUCAGAUUCACUAGCAUCAUUGGAAUGCAUAGAUUGUCUCCUUCUGGAAUAAUUACUGGAAGGUCUAGCUCCAUAAUAAUAGAAGCUUGUGUAUCAAUCACUCUUAAAUUCUGACAUGACCGGGAGGAGAAGAUUUUAAUGAAUUCUGCCCAGGUACAUUUUCACUAGUUAAAAGCAGCCCUUCAUUCUCACAAACUGAGUACAACAGACUGUUCACAAACUAGAACUCAGAGGUUUGGUCUUUCAGAAACAGCACAGAGGGCCCUUGAAAACCAUUGAACUGUAUAGCCAGUGUUCAGUUUUAUAUCUUAGAGACACAACUUUCAACUCUAUAGAGACCAUCCAGAGAACUGGAACUGUAUGACUGUUAUAUAUCUCAACCAACCAGGGAAGUUUACCCAGAAAGAGAUGGUACCCAAAAUGCAGGUAUCUUUCCUAAGACUAUGUGUCAAGAUUUCUGUCACCAUACAAGCCCUUCAUCUUUUCCCUAUUUACUGCUGUCUUAAUCACUUACUAUUCAUUACAGAAAAAGCCGUGGAACCAUUAUCUGUGAAUGGCUUUAGCAAAUGCUUAGCUCUAACAAGAAUCUAGAAUAAGUAUUUGGUUUGUUGGCUGAUGAUCCCAAAUCAGGACUCAUGUGUACUUUUGCCAGGGGCCUCUCUGUGUUAUCAGUGAGAAUAACCCUGAAAACCCAAAGAAAGAAUGGAAAGCUAUCCUUGGUGUUGUAGACUUCACUGCUACUUGAUCUCUACAUAUGCUGAAAUCUGUCUCCUGAUCCUUCUCAUUAUUAAUUACCACCAAAUCCUGAAAACCUCUCUAUGUGAUAUGUGAUCUAGCUAUCUAAUAGUACCCUUUAUCCAUAAGGAAUAUCUAAUAAUACUUGGGGGGGGGGGAACAUCAGCCCUUCCCAAUCUGUGCUACUGAAACAGUGAUACUGACACCAACACAGCUACUGAGUGACAAACAGGAAUACAAUUUAUAUAUCACACACUAUAUAAACCUGAUUUACAUUUAGGUGUAGCAGAGAGAGAGAGAGUGUGUAAACUUUGCCGCACUAUUAACAAUGAGACAAAAUUAAGGAUAGAGGAAGUAACUCCAUCUGGAAUUUCCAAUUUAAUACUUUUGAAUUAUAGCCAACCACACCCAAACCAUGGCAACUGAAGCCGGAUGAUAGAGAAUGACUAUACUGCGCUUGCAAACAGCUGCUAGUCAAGACUUGGAAAUUACCAAACCAGUAAUGUUCAGAAAGGUCAGGUUUUACUCUGUGGUUGUUACCCUUGAAACUCGGUGUCUAAAAACUACAAUAACUUACCUUUCUCACUGGCCUCUGUUUAGGAGUUAAACAUUUAUAACUGAACUUAAACAGAUGUAACUGACCUCUGCUCCAAGGCCACUCCAUGGUCCUCUUUUCCAACAACCCCCUAGUCCUCCACAAGGGCUGCAGACAAUUAGAGUUCUCUGUUGUUCCUUGUCCCUGCUUCAGAUCUUGCUAUUUGACCUGACUCACUCCUACCUUCUAACAACCUUUGCUUGAACAUUAUUAUAAAAACAGAAACUGGCUGAAA